UGCCCAGCAACUCCUAUCCCUACCUCCUCGCGGUACCGACCGGAAACUAUGAGCAACCUUAGGGAAGAUCGGAUAACCAACCCCAGUGUGAACUUCGGUCGUUGGCUGACAGGGGGAAGG
rnacentral:ribozyme from 1 species